rnacentral:piRNA from 1 species
UCGCGUGGGAACGAGAAGACACUCAUGU